rnacentral:rRNA from 1 species
GUGGGGAAUUUUGGACAAUGGGCGCAAGCCUGAUCCAGCAAUGCCGCGUGCAGGAAGAAGGCCUUCGGGUUGUAAACUGCUUUUGUACGGAACGAAACGGUCCUGGCUAAUAUCCGGGGCUAAUGACGGUACCGUAAGAAUAAGCACCGGCUAACUACGUGCCAGCAGCCGCGGUAAUACGUAGGGUGCGAGCGUUAAUCGGAAUUACUGGGCGUAAAGCGUGCGCAGGCGGUGCUGUAAGACAGGCGUGAAAUCCCCGGGCUCAACCUGGGAAUUGCGAUUGUGACUGCAGUGCUGGAGUGCGGCAGAGGGGGAUGGAAUUCCGCGUGUAGCAGUGAAAUGCGUAGAUAUGCGGAGGAACACCGAUGGCGAAGGCAAUCCCCUGGGCCUGCACUGACGCUCAUGCACGAAAGCGUGGGGAGCAAACAGGAUUAGAAACCCCGGUAGUCC